rnacentral:rRNA from 1 species
UACGUAGGGGGCAAGCGUUGUCCGGAUUUAUUGGGCGUAAAGAGCGUGUAGGCGGCUAGGUAGGUCCGUUGUGAAAACUCGAGGCUCAACCUCGAGACGUCGAUGGAAACCAUCUAGCUAGAGUCCGGAAGAGGAGAGUGGAAUUCCUGGUGUAGCGGUGAAAUGCGCAGAUAUCAGGAGGAACACCAAUGGCGAAGGCAGCUCGCUGGGACGGUACUGACGCUGAGGUGCGAAAGCGUGGGGAGCAAACAGG